rnacentral:lncRNA from 10 species
UUCUCUUUACCAAAAUCAAAAGAAGGACCUCACUUCCCUGCUUGGAGUGGCCUGACUCUGGAUGACUCAAGAGGGCUUUUCCUUCUCUCAGGAGCUACAAUAGUCACAGGAAGGUAUCCUUCUGCAGUUUGGGGGAUCUGAAGAAAAGCUGAGCAGAUCAGAAAUGAACUCAGCAGAAUUAACAUUAGAAAGAGAGAAACAAGGACACCAAGAAGCAAUUUCACCCAGGAAAGCAUUCUGUUAUGAAAUCCAAGCUCUCUUUACAUGAAGACUCAGCCUGCAGACAGCUCCCUACACAUGCACCCCACAGGGAAGGCUGCUUGUCACCAGCAACCAUCUCCAUCCACAUUCCCCCCGCCCUGCCCCCACGAGAAGCCUGCCUUCAGUUGUCCCAAUUACAGGGAAGCCUGCUGAGGAAACAGAACUGUCUGAAUGCAAAGGAAAUUUAGCUCUUAUGAAUAUGAACUCUCAACCAAGAAUCACCAGACGUUUAAGGAAAACCAAGAACACAAAAGAGAAAGAUCAAGAUUAAAAAAACAGCUGGGCGUGGUGGCUCUUGCCUGUAAUCCCAGCACUUUGGGAGGCUGAGGCGGGAGGAUC